GUCUUUUAUGCUUGCUUCUUCUUGGGGUGAUUUAUGUUCUAUGCUUGAUAUCUGACCUAUUUCAAGCUAUGAAGCUAUUCUCAUCUGAAGUCAUCAGUUGGGAUGGAAACCAGUCUCUCAGCUGUACUUAAACAGGUCAGAAAGUUGCCAGCAGUUCCAAUCUAUUCUUUUUAUCUCAAAGGAGAAAUCAGCAGUAGAGUGGCUUCCCUCCAUCGACUCAAUUUCAGGGAAGGGGUGAGAACACCCUGUGAAGAGGAAGGCAGAGAUUGGAAUGAUGCAGAAGAAGCCAACGAAUCUACGAGAGAGGCAUGAAUUUCCCCUUCAUAGUCCUUGUAAGGAGCCAACCCUGCUGCACCUUUAUCUCAAAUGUCCAGCUUCCAGAACUGCAAGACAGUAAAUUUCUGCUGUUUAAGACAAAAAAAAAGUUAAGCUUUAUAUGCACAAAGCAAGACAUUACUUAUAUUAAAUGUUGUAUCUGUGAUCUUUACAACAUUUGUGAAAUAGUCUAUUAGCCAAUCAGUUGGUAGGCAGAAGUAUCUAAAUCACAUAAAAUAAUUGUGCCUAAAUAAUUCUGGUAACAUGUAUAAUCCAUUGAACAUCUUGACAAUCAAUAAUUUAACUAAUGCAAGUUUGUCAAAUAGGGAAACUGGGGAUCCUGAUACUAAUCUAAUUUUAGAAGAUGAACAACAGUAAGCAUUUACGGACUGAGAGCUUAAUGUGUUUAUUUCUUUUAAAAUUUUACAAACUGCUGGGUGUGUUGGCUUAUGCCUCUAAUCUCAGCACUUUGGGAGACUGAGGCAGGUGAAUUGCUUGAGCCCAGGAUUUCACGACCAGCUUGGGCAAGGUAGUGAGAACUAAUUUCUACUAAAAAUUAAACAAAAAAAUAGCCAAGUGUGGUGGUACACACCUGAAAUCCCAGUUAUUCUGGAGACUGUGGCAGUAAGAUCACUUGAGCCCAAGAUACUGAGACUACUGUGAGCCAUGAUUGUGCCACUGCACUCCAGCUCAGGCAACAGACUGAGACCCUGUCUCAAAAAUAAAUAAAUACAAAUAAAAUAAAAUUUUACAAACUUUCAGAUUUAGCAGUCACUAAAAACCACAUGAAAAAUGUAUUAUAUAUACACCAUCUUUUAAAAUAAAUACAUUGUACUUUUGAAAAAUUGUGUUAUUUCCCUGAAAUCAACGUUAGCAAACAAUGGGGCUAAUAUAAAUCCAGAUAUGUUCAACUUCAAAGCCUAUACUACAAUUACUCUUGUAAAAAUAGUUUUCCAGUUAUGCCUCAACUUGUUUUAACUAGUGGGAAAAAAAGCUUUCCAGCCCAUUAUGAGAAAGAAAAUUUAACUUCUCUAUUACAUAACUUGAUUACAUAAAUUACUAUAACCUAAUAAGUGCAGUUAACUUGACAUCCUCACUUAACAUAUGGAAGAGCACAUUUAUGACACAUUUAUAGACAUCAGUAUGGCAUUGUAUAUCAGAAAUUAAAAUGUGGAUAAGAUUUUGUCCCCCAAAUUUUACUACGAUAAAUUUGUUUUAAGGAAAUAUUGAAGUAGCAAAGAUGUAUGUUUAAGAAUAUUAAUUAUUACAGUGCUAAAAAAUAAAAUAUAGAACAAAAACUGAAUACAAGAUGUGACUAGAAUGUCAAAUAGAUGUCUACAUUCCCAUAUUUAUUGAAACAUUUUUCAUUAUAGCCAAGAUUUGCAAGCAACCUAAGUGCCUCUCAACAAAUAAAGAGAUUGUUUAAAUGUUU